rnacentral:tRNA from 1 species
UUUCAUUUAAGUAUAUUAAAUACAUUAAGUUUAGAACUUAAAAAUGAAAAAAAUGAAAA